rnacentral:rRNA from 1 species
GAUGAACGCUGGCGGCGUGCCUAAUACAUGCAAGUCGAGCGAACGGACGAGAAGCUUGCUUUUCUGAUGUUAGCGGCGGACGGGUGAGUAACACGUGGAUAACCUACCUAUAAGACUGGGAUAACUUCGGGAAACCGGAGCUAAUACCGGAUAAUAUUUUGAACCGCAUGGUUCAAAAGUGAAAGACGGUCUUGCUGUCACUUAUAGAUGGAUCCGCGCUGCAUUAGCUAGUUGGUAAGGUAACGGCUUACCAAGGCAACGAUGCAUAGCCGACCUGAGAGGGUGAUCGGACACACUGGAACUGAGACACGGUCCAGACUCCUGCGGGAGGCAGCAGUAGGGAAUCUUCCGCGAUGGGCGAAAGCCUGACGGAGCAACGCCGCGUGAGUGAUGAAGGUCUUCGGAUCGUAAAGCUCUGUUAUUAGGGAAGAACAUAUGUGUAAGUAACUGUGCACAUCUUGACGGUACCUAAUCAGAAAGCCACGGCUAACUACGUG